rnacentral:rRNA from 1 species
GACGAACGCUGGCGGUGUGCUUAACACAUGCAAGUCGUGCGACGAACCAGACUUCGGUCUGGGGCAAAGCGGCGAACGGGUGAGUAACACGUGGGUAAUCUGCCCCGAUGACUGGGACAACCCAAGGAAACUCGGGCUAAUAUCGGAUGUGGUGCCUGGACUCAAGUCCGGUCACUAAAGGUAGCUUCGGCUUCCGCAUUGGGAGGGGCCCGCGGCCCAUUAGCUUGUUGGUGGGGUCAAGGCCUACCAAGGCAACGAUGGGUAGCUGGUCUGAGAGGACGAUCAGCCACACUGGGACUGAGACACGGCCCAGACUCCUACGGGAGGCAGCAGUGGGGAAUCUUGCGCAAUGCGCGAAAGCGUGACGCAGCAACACCGCGUGAGGGAAGACGGCCUUAGGGUUGUAAACCUCUUUCAGAUGGGACGAAGGUGAUGCGGUGAAUAGCCGAUGUCAUUGACGGUACCGUCAGAAGAAGCUCCGGCUAACUACGUGCC